rnacentral:misc_RNA from 1 species
UCGUAACAAGGUUUCCGUAGGUGAACCUGCGGAAGGAUCAUUACUGAUUUGCUUAAUUGCACCACAUGUGUUUUUCUUUGAAACAAACUUGCUUUGGCGGUGGGCCCAGCCUGCCGCCAGAGGUCUAAACUUACAACCAAUUUUUUAUCAACUUGUCACACCAGAUUAUUACUAAUAGUCAAAACUUUCAACAACGGAUCUCUUGGUUCUCGCAUCGAUGAAGAACGCAGCGAAAUGCGAUACGUAAUAUGAAUUGCAGAUAUUCGUGAAUCAUCGAAUCUUUGAACGCACAUUGCGCCCUCUGGUAUUCCGGAGGGCAUGCCUGUUUGAGCGUCGUUUCUCCCUCAAACCGCUGGGUUUGGUGUUGAGCAAUACGACUUGGGUUUGCUUGAAAGACGGUAGUGGUAAGGCGGGAUCGCUUUGACAAUGGCUUAGGUCUAACCAAAAACAUUGCUUGCGGCGGUAACGUCCACCACGUAUAUCUUCAAACUUUGACCUCAAAUCAGGUAGGACUACCCGCUGAACUUAAGCAUAUCAAUAAGCCGGAGGAA